rnacentral:rRNA from 1 species
UACGUAGGGGGCAAGCGUUAUCCGGAUUUACUGGGUGUAAAGGGAGCGCAGACGGCAGUGCAAGUCUGAUGUGAAAGCCCGGGGCUCAACCCCGGAACUGCAUUGGAAACUGUACAGCUUGAGUGUCGGGGAGGUAAGCGGAAUUCCUAGUGUAGCGGUGAAAUGCGUAGAUAUUAGGAGGAACACCGGUGGCGAAGGCGGCUUACUGGACGAUUACUGAUGUUGAGGCUCGAAAGCGUGGGGAGCAAACAGGAUUAGAUACCCUGGUAGUCCCU